rnacentral:rRNA from 1 species
AGUGAACGCUGGCGGUAGGCCUAACACAUGCAAGUCGAACGGCAGCACAGUAAGAGCUUGCUCUUACGGGUGGCGAGUGGCGGACGGGUGAGGAAUACAUCGGAAUCUACUUUUUCGUGGGGGAUAACGUAGGGAAACUUACGCUAAUACCGCAUACGACCUACGGGUGAAAGCAGGGGAUCUUCGGACCUUGCGCGAUUGAAUGAGCCGAUGUCGGAUUAGCUAGUUGGCGGGGUAAAGGCCCACCAAGGCGACGAUCCGUAGCUGGUCUGAGAGGAUGAUCAGCCACACUGGAACUGAGACACGGUCCAGACUCCUACGGGAGGCAGCAGUGGGGAAUAUUGGACAAUGGGCGCAAGCCUGAUCCAGCCAUGCCGCGUGAGUGAAGAAGGCCUUCGGGUUGUAAAGCCCUUUUAUUGGGAAAGAAAAGCAGCAGGUUAAUACCCCGCUGUUCUGACGGUACCCAAAGAAUAAGCACCGGCUAACUUCGUG